rnacentral:lncRNA from 1 species
CUCUUUCCCUUUAUCCCUCACUUGUUUAUAUUUAAAUUUCAGCAUGUUAAUCCCCCUUCCCUUUCCCUUUUGUUGUUUAUAUUUAGUAUUUGCUUUUAUGACUAGCAUGUAUAAUCCUUCUCCUUUUCCCUUGCCUGCCUAUUAUUCAGUGAGUUCUUGAAUCAUUUUAAUCAUGUUCUUUCAAUAUCCUUAUGUGAUUGUGUUGG